GAUGAACGCUGGCGGCGUGCCUAAUACAUGCAAGUCGAGCGAACAGACGAGGAGCUUGCUCCUCUGACGUUAGCGGCGGACGGGUGAGUAACACGUGGAUAACCUACCUAUAAGACUGGGAUAACUUCGGGAAACCGGAGCUAAUACCGGAUAAUAUAUUGAACCGCAUGGUUCAAAAGUGAAAGACGGUUUUGCUGUCACUUAUAGAUGGAUCCGCGCCGCAUUAGCUAGUUGGUAAGGUAACGGCUUACCAAGGCGACGAUGCGUAGCCGACCUGAGAGGAUGAUCGGCCACACUGGAACUGAGACACGGUCCAGACUCCUACGGGAGGCAGCAGUAGGGAGUCUUCCGCAAUGGGCGAAAGCCUGACGGAGCAACGCCGCGUGAGUGAUGAAGGUCUUCGGAUCGUAAAACUCUGUUAUUAGGGAAGAACAAAUGUGUAAGUAACUAUGCACGUCUUGACGGUACCUAAUCAGAAAGCCACGGCUAACUACGUG
rnacentral:rRNA from 1 species